GCUAAGCAAUAGUAUUUUCUUGUUGGAUAUAGAUAAGACCUGUUUUCAAAAUUUUUUAAGAAAAAAAAGUAUAGCAAUGAAUAUGCAAUAGAGAUGUGCGAAUAAAGCAUUUGUGAAAACAAAUUAAAUUGAAUUGAAUCUUUGAUAACAUAUUUGAAAUCGAAUUAAAUCUAAAAAAAUCUAAAAUUUUAAGUCAAAUUGAAUUGAAUUUGAUUUGAAUUUGAAUCAAAUUGAACCAAAUUUAACCCAAGUUUACAUUAUAUACUGAAACGUUAUAAGAUAUUUCAAUGUUGUAGAUCCUUUUUAAUAGAUGAGAAAUAUCUCAAAAAUUGCAAGAAUUUUAGAACAUAAUUACAAAAAAAUAAUGCUAAGUAAAAAUUUAUAACAGAUACUAGACACUAAGGAUACUGAUAAAUAAAUAUUGCAUACAUAUUGUUAAAUAUAGUACGCGCAUGCGUAUGUGUAUUAUAAAAAUUAUGAUAUUACAAUCGAAGUGAUAAUAUUUCAGUACACUUUUUUAGGAAAAUAUGUUGGAGCAAUUUUAAAUUUCCAAACCUAUGAAAUAUUGAAACAAAUUUAUGAAGAUGAUCUAUUGUACAUACAAUUUUGAAUAGUUUAUAAGAUUUAGAAGUGAUAGAAAAGUUUUGGUAAUUGAUAAACAAUCGGUCACGAGCCUAAUGGGUGCGUUGAUACAAACUUAAUCUUGCAGAAGAAUACAUAGUCGAUGAUUCUCAAUUUUUACAGAGAAGAUUAUAGAUCUACAGUUUAUAUGAUUUAAUGCUAUCUAUAUCAUUUAUAUUUACUACAUAAUCUACAUUGUAGACUUUACGAUAAUUAUAUAUAUAUUUGGUAAUCUGUAAAAAUCAAUAAAUAUUUCUAGAAAAGUUGCAUCUUAA